rnacentral:rRNA from 1 species
GAUGAACGCUGGCGGCGUGCCUAAUACAUGCAAGUCGAGCGAACGGACGAGAAGCUUGCUUCUCUGAUGUUAGCGGCGGACGGGUGAGUAACACGUGGAUAACCUACCUAUAAGACUGGGAUAACUUCGGGAAACCGGAGCUAAUACCGGAUAAUAUUUUGAACCGCAUGGUUCAAAAGUGAAAGACGGUCUUGCUGUCACUUAUAGAUGGAUCCGCGCUGCAUUAGCUAGUUGGUAAGGUAACGGCUUACCAAGGCAACGAUGCAUAGCCGACCUGAGAGGGUGAUCGGCCACACUGGAACUGAGACACGGUCCAGACUCCUACGGGAGGCAGCAGUAGGGAAUCGUCCGCAAUAGGCGAAAGCCUGACGGAGCAACGCCGCAUGAGUGAUGAAGGUCUUCGGAUCGUAAAACUCUGUUAUUAGGGAAGAACAUAUGUGUAAGUAACUAUGCACAUCUUGACGGUACCUAAUCAGAAAGCCACGGCUAACUACGUG